rnacentral:rRNA from 1 species
CCUACGGGUGGCAGCAGUGAGGAAUAUUGGUCAAUGGACGAGAGUCUGAACCAGCCAAGUAGCGUGAAGGAUGACUGCCCUAUGGGUUGUAAACUUCUUUUAUAUGGGAAUAAAAUGUUCCACGUGUGGGAUUUUGUAUGUACCAUAUGAAUAAGGAUCGGCUAACUCCGUGCCAGCAGCCGCGGUAAUACAGAGGAUCCGAGCGUUAUCCGGAUUUAUUGGGUGUAAAGGGAGCGUAGGUGGAUUGUUAAGUCAGUUGUGAAAGUUUGCGGCUCAACCGUAAAAUUGCAGUUGAAACUGGCAGUCUUGAGUACAGUAGAGGUGGGCGGAAUUCGUGGUGUAGCGGUGAAAUGCUUAGAUAUCACGAAGAACUCCGAUUGCGAAGGCAGUUCACUGGACUGCAACUGACACUGAGGCUCGAAAGUGUGGGUAUCAAACAGGAUUAGAUACCCGGGUAGUC